GCCCAUCGCAGGGCGCUGUUUCAACAUAUUUGCACCUAUUCCUGAGUUUUUCCCACGAAUCAUUUAGUUAUAUUUUUUAUUUAGUUUGGACUGCCAUGUUGCGUUUGGGUCUCCAAUAAUUUUGGACACAUCCUCGAAUUUCAAUUUUGGCAGCUAUGACCAAGAUAAAGGGCAGACCUUUCUGGGGUGAGCUGUUGUGAUAUGACCGCCUGCGUUUCUGAGGUUAGUAACUGUCCGAAAAGCAGCACCGGAACGUUUCUUGGACCUAAAACCGCUCAGCUGACUCUGAUUUAACUACAUAAAACCACGCCCAGCUGGCUAAACUUCGCCACGUGCAAAUCGCACUCAUCCAGUUUAAAUGACCAUCCAGUUCAGUUAAUGUGCUCAUGAAGCCAAACCAACAUGUUCAAAUGGACAUCCAACCAGAGGAUUUGCCUUGUUCAGCAAUUUAUCCAUGUUUGAAAUAAUACUAUGCUGAUUCGUUGGAGUAAUCAACUUGUGGUUAUGCAGAUGUCUUAUGCAAAAGUUGGCAAUACAGGGGCUCCCUCUAGCGUUUGAGAAACCUGGAAGACAUUACAGAAUGGUAAUUCUCCUCGCCACAAGUUCUCUGACAUUAAGAAAUCAGAAGGUAGGCUAGAGCAGGGUUUCUCAACCUGCAGGCCGUGGGCCACCAGUGAGCUGUGAAGUAUAUAAGAGAAGAAAAUGACCCAGCCAGGAAAUGUUUGCUUCUCCAGUACAUCUCUCCUAAAAGUCAUGUAUGCCUUCUGUCUGUGUGCAUUUCUUCUGCCUGGUUGGCACUGUGCAAACCUGCUGUGCUAUUACUGUCCAUUGCAGCUGGUCAACAAGCCCUGCAAGCAUGUUUUGACUGAAUGUCUGCCAGGGCAGAAGU